AUUUAUUUGAGAAAGAGAAGUAAAUAUUUCAUGAUGCUUUUCUCCAACACUUGAGUACUGGUAUAGAAUAGAGUAUUACAGCCUCAUAAUGUACAGCAGGGUUUCCCAAACUCAGUUGUGGGGCCCACCCUGGGUCCAUAUAUCUUUUUUGCCCUAGCACUACACAGCUGAUUCAAAUAACCAAUUUAAAUGACUUUGGGAAACCCUGCUUUACAGCAUAAAUAUACUUGUAAAUAGACUUACUGCAUUUCACAAACACUAGCAUUAGAAAUACAGUACUGACAUAGACAAAUAGCACAGUACAACAUAAUGCUUUUACAUACAGUACAGUGGUGGUGAAGGCUAGGAUAAAUCCUUUUCAUUAGGGAGAUGGAUGGCACAAAUCAUUUAUGAACCCAGGUUGAUUUUCAGUAGUGGGGUCCUGUACCAUCAUCUUGAUGGUAAUAACUUGUAUUAUAAAUCACUACAUUCCUCCCUCAGCCAUGUGCAGACCAGACUCAUAUGAAGUUUCAAAGGUGGAAUGGGUGUUAUAGAACAUGUGUAAAUUAUAAUUCAUUGGUGGGUUAAAGUGCAUCAACUUUUGAAUAAGCUUAUCUCUGCUUGAUUAAUAACUGGACAUAUUUUCCUUUUUUGCCCCAUUCAAAAUACCCUGGUAGAUGCGUCAUGGGUAAAACAUUUGUAUUUCCAUACUUAUUCCUAAGAAUAAGAGUAGGCUUUAGCCGGCUGGUGUCAGUAUUAGAGGACCAAAAAUUAUCCAAGGCACUGGUUUAACGGUACUGAUUUACAAGAAUAUGAAUAUGAAAACGUAUUAAAAGAUUACAACUUUAAGAAGAAGAGUUAAAGUGAUGGAAUUAAGGCAGAGAUAACGCAGCAGCAUCCUGAUCUGGGGGUUUGGGUAGUCCUGAGUGCUGUCCCUGUCACUUUCUCUGGGGGUUGGGUCCAAAUAGCUUGGUUAAGGGAUGGGUAGUCCUGAGUGCUGUCCCAAAAAAGGAAAGAGAUAGGGAAGAGAUAAUGAAAAGGAUGUAGCAAGCAGUAUCUACAAAUGUCUGGUGUUUAGGCCCUCAGUGACAUCAUAAUCACAGUAUCUAUGAAUGUCUGGUGGUCAGGUCCUCAGUGACAUCAUAAUCACAGUAUCUACAAAUGUCUGGUGGUCAGGUCCUCAGUGACAUUAUAAUCACAGUAUCUAUGAAUGUCUGGUGGUCAGGUCCUCAGUGACAUCAUAAUCACAGUAUCUAUGAAUGUCUGGUGGUCAGGUCCUCAGUGACAUCAUAAUCACAGUAUCUAUGAAUGUCUGGUGGUCAGGUCCUCAGUGACAUCAUAAUCACAGUAUCUAUGAAUGUCUGGUGGUCAGGUCCUCAGUGACAUUAUAAUCACAGUAUCUAUGAAUGUCUGGUGGUCAGGUCCUCAGUGACAUUAUAAUCACAGUAUCUAUGAAUGUCUGGUGGUCAGGUCCUCAGUGACAUUAUAAUCACAGUAUCUAUGAAUGUCUGGUGGUCAGGUCCUCAGUGACAUCAUAAUCAUAAGCUAUAGACAAGUCUGUUGUUACAGCCUGAUAGAGAACACACUCACCCUUAUAUGACAUAGUUUUUUAUUUUGCGCUUCUUGAUACACCUGUAAGUAAUGAUGCCAAUGCAAACAACGACCAGGACAGGGAUAAGUAAACACCACCACCCUUAAUAACAACAGAUAAAAACACAACAUUAUUGGAUAAGUAUGUAUCAUAUUACAAUUGGAGGACUAAUUAUUUACAAUGAGGAGGAAUCAUAAAGCACUAAUCAAUCAACGGAUUAAUAUUUUUUUUUUUAAAAAGCCACUGAGGAGUAUAUUAGUCUGUCAGAGUGAAAUUGUCAGUGUUGAGCAGCAUUGCUGCGCUGUGUAUUUCUGCACUCACCAGGAUGUCCAUAUUGAGCAGCAGCUCCAGUGAAGUCUGAACCUGCCACCAAGACAAACAACUCAACAGCCAGACUGCAGAUGUCUUUGUUAGGGAUUCACUCAACUGUACACAGGACAAUUAAGUCUCACUAACAAAGCUAGGAUGGGAAUCAAUCCGAGUGUCAAUUUGGACAAUGCUCCAUUUUAAGGUAAUUUUCAAUUGAGCAACCGUGAAUGUGAUCUCCACUAAGGCAGAAACAUUGCCUUUAAAACGUGCAUUGUGGGCAAAGCUCAAUCAGACUGAAUCCUGGCCUUAGUGUUCAAUUAAGCAAGGGACACUGCAUAAAUAGUGCUGUGUAAAAUGACCAUAAGAUUCUCUACAGCCAGUUUGUGAAAAUAAUACAGAAUGUUUGAAUCGAUGACUCACCAUUCACAGUAGUUGGUGCGAUGCCGAUGACAAGGCAAUCUGAAAUAGCAGAACAGGGCUGAUUAGCCUACAUGCAACAAUUGACAGACGGAGCACAUAUGGAAAUUUGUUUUUGGUUUGGUGAUGGAUUUUUUCUCAUACUCUAUAAUAUAGGCUACUGGUAACUUCCUAUAGCCCCUGGGAUUAUAGACACCCAGGACCAUCGAUUUGUUCACUCUACGCACUCUAGCAUUUUGUUCACGUUGUAUUAUCUUGGGCCAUCACAGAGACACUCACUGGCUUGUUCAUAGUUGGUAAUGGCUGUGCUGUUGGCCUCCAGGGCAGGCUGGAAGCUCUCUGAGACGUUUCUGCACACAGUGUAAUAAUAAUCCAGACUACACAUGGUGCACCUCCCAGAAGGAGGAUAGGGGGUGGAUGUGCAUUGCUGGAAAGGACCUGGCACCAUCAGCAGAUUCUGGUUCAGGUCAUCAUUAUGAUCAAAACAUUUCGUCACCUCUGGGCACUUUGUGUCAUUACACCGGAAACACAUGUCCUUCAUUGCAACUGAGAGAAACAGUGAGAUGUAUUCACACAAACAGGCAGAGGAGGAUUACACUGUUGGCCAGAACAGACAACUCAUCACAUCGGCCAUCCAGUGGAAUAGAGACAAAAGUAUACCAGUUUCAUGGGUUAACUUUGGUUUUAAUCACACAUACAUGUAUACAUACACAUAUACGUUAGAUUAUUCAAUGUAAAGAUCAUUCUAUAGCUGGGGUGGUGACAUUUUUCUCAUGUCAGGCAUUAAUACUGAUGAAUGAUAGAGUGUGUUAUCAUACCUACCUUUUAUUCGAAUCCAACCUGUGAAAUAAUGGACCAGGAAUAUUAGUCUAACGCAAACACUACAAAUUCCUGCAAUCAUUUGUCAUACCAUCUCUUCAAGUAUGAGUUUUAGGACAUUCUUAUCUUUAUUAAAUUCCUAACAGAAAAUAAGAAAUAAAGCUCUUCCUUCCUGUUUUUACUGAACUUUUGGUAUUUGAAGGAC
rnacentral:lncRNA from 1 species